ensembl:lncRNA
UUUGAACUUUGGCUUUCCUUGGCUCCCAUCUUUACCUCUCAGAGUAAGGCAUUUGGCAUCUGGCCACCAGAAACUAGGGUUGUCCACCUCUCAGGGCUUCAGUGAGUCAGUUAGUAUAACUGAUCUGAACAAGACAGAUCAUAAAAAGGAGACACCAAAUCUCUUAAAUUUGUGGUAAUUAAAUAGAAUGUGAAAUUUUUGUUUCAUCACACUGGAAUUUCCCAACCUCAACACAAUGAGGAUGGUUUAAAAAAAAAAAAAAAAGUCCCUGAGCAAUGAGUCAUAGUCUCCUUAGGCGACAUCUGCAAGGCUGAACCCAGAUUGCCAUGAAAUCUGGUGGUUAGCAUUAAACAUACUAAGUUUUUACUUACGUAGAACAGUGUGCACCAAGUGGAUUGAUUAUAUUGUACAGUUGGCUUUUCAAAGCAGUGCAUAUGCCUCUAUGUAUCUACAGUGCAGUCAGCAGUGCAACGUAGAGCUAUCUGACCAAGCUUAAACUAGCUGGACUGGAGACCAAAAGCAAUUUAGUUCUGAUGACCAACGUUGACACAUCCUGCUUUCCAUCACUUCCCAUUUCUGGCCUCAUUUGCACACUAGUGCUUCACAGGAAAGUAAUGCCAAGCAGGUUAUAUUAACACUGUUUCACCCUUUGUUCUGUUUCCCAGGAGGAAAGUCUGCACUGAGCCUCAUGCUGAUAAGCAAGACUACUGCCAGUACCUUAGCCACUCACUUAAACCUAAUUCUGAAACCACAGGGCGGCUCUGCAGGCUGCUUCUCGCCGGCGCGCAGCAGAUGGCAGCCUGUGUCCGCGCAGUCCCACAAGCGCCCCCCUCCCGGGCGCGGCCGCACGCGUCCCCGGACCGGUCUGACGAGGACGGACAGCCUACAGGAGCGCUCCCUCCCGCCUCCUCGCCUCCUCUUCCUCCUCUCCUCCGCCAGCACAGAGCUGGCAUGCUCUCUGUUGGAAGAGUUUUUCUCUCAGGGAAGUGACAUUUUAUAAAUGAGCUCAAACAUAAGUAAAGAGGUGCCUGGCUGCUGCAAGGGCACAAAGCUUCGCCCCGGUAGAAGGGAUCUGCUGUCAGGCUGAGGCUGGCUUGCCAGCCUGGCUCCCGCCUCGGGGCUCGCCCUGGCGCAAGGGGGUCACCUCCAGGCUCACCAGCAGCCCCUGUCCUUUCGUUAGGAAGGAAAAUCAAACUCCAGUUUUACAUAUGAUUCCUAGAGUUAUAUUCCACUAGAUUUGCUGUAUCAGCCUACCAAAAGCAGGACCUAAAAUGACAUCUGUAAUGUCAUAAAAUGACAAGUAACAGCUUUCAUAAUGCUCUUCUGAUUUGAGGAUGAGCACAGACUGAUUCCCUUCAAUUAGCCCUAGGAUCAAGCAGCUCAAGAAAAAGUCCCACGCUGCAGUGCCAAGCUCUGCAGCCACACAGCCAAUGAUUUGGCAUCACUGGUUUUCAGUUUAACAGCACAUGGAAAAGUUUCUGUCAUAACAAAACACUCAGGCUGCAAGCUGAACCCUCCAAAAUCUGGAUUUGGCAUUGUUACUGAAGUACGUGCAACAUUACCUGUGCCAGCAUCAAUAUGCAUUGCAAUAAAGUCUUAAUAAAUGUUCA